AAAUUUCUUGACAAUGAUUUGAUCAUAACUCUUCAACCACACAUGAGAAAUAGAUGUUCUUGGACUUUUUGGAAAGGUGAGAGCAAGAUCUUCAACUUUCAUGUUGGACAAAAUUUCAUUUGAAGCUUUCUUGAGGAUGUAAACUUGAGGAGAAGACCUUUCCAUUUUUGGCAGCUUGAAAUUACAGGUCACUUACUAUUUUUGGAAACUUUUUGUCUGACCUCAAAUCCU
rnacentral:lncRNA from 1 species